rnacentral:rRNA from 1 species
CCUACGGGUGGCUGCAGUGGGGAAUAUUGGACAAUGGGCGAAAGCCUGAUCCAGCCAUGCCGCGUGUGUGAAGAAGGCCUUCGGGUUGUAAAGCACUUUCAGUGGGGAAGAAAGCCUUGGGGCUAAUACCCUCGAGGAAGGACAUCACCCACAGAAGAAGCACCGGCUAACUCCGUGCCAGCAGCCGCGGUAAUACGGAGGGUGCGAGCGUUAAUCGGAAUUACUGGGCGUAAAGCGCGCGUAGGCGGUCUGAUAAGCCGGUUGUGAAAGCCCCGGGCUCAACCUGGGAACGGCAUCCGGAACUGUCAGGCUAGAGUGCAGGAGAGGAAGGUAGAAUUCCCGGGGUAGCGGUGAAAUGCGUAGAGAUCGGGAGGAAUACCAGUGGCGAAGGCGGCCUUCUGGACUGACACUGACGCUGAGGUGCGAAAGCGUGGGUAGCAAACAGGAUUAGAUACCCGGGUAGUC